GACGAACGCUGGCGGCGUGCUUAACACAUGCAAGUCGAACGGAAAGACCCUGCUUUUGUGGGGUGCUCGAGUGGCGAACGGGUGAGUAACACGUGAGUAACCUGCCCUUGACUUUGGGAUAACUUCAGGAAACUGGGGCUAAUACCGGAUAGGAGCUCCUGCUGCAUGGUGGGGGUUGGAAAGUUUCGGCGGUUGGGGAUGGACUCGCGGCUUAUCAGCUUGUUGGUGGGGUAGUGGCUUACCAAGGCUUUGACGGGUAGCCGGCCUGCGAGGGUGACCGGCCACAUUGGGACUGAGAUACGGCCCAGACUCCUACGGGAGGCAGCAGUGGGGAAUAUUGCACAAUGGGCGGAAGCCUGAUGCAGCAACGCCGCGUGCGGGAUGACGGCCUUCGGGUUGUAAACCGCUUUCGCCUGUGACGAAGCGUGAGUGACGGUAAUGGGUAAAGAAGCACCGGCUAACUACGUG
rnacentral:rRNA from 1 species